rnacentral:rRNA from 1 species
GACGAACGCUGGCGGCGUGCUUAACACAUGCAAGUCGAACGGAAAGGCCCUGCUUUUGUGGGGGGCUCGAGUGGCGAACGGGUGAGUAACACGUGAGUAACCUGCCCUUGACUUUGGGAUAACUUCAGGAAACUGGGGCUAAUACCGGAUAGGAGCUCCUGCUGCAUGGUGGGGGUUGGAAAGUUUCGGCGGUUGGGGAUGGACUCGCGGCUUAUCAGCUUGUUGGUGGGGUGGUGGCUUACCAAGGCUUUGACGGGUCGCCGGCCUGAGAGGGUGACCGGCCCCAUUGGGACUGAGAUACGGCCCAGACUCCUACGGGAGGCAGCAGUGGGGAAUAUUGCACAAUGGGCGGAAGCCUGAUGCAGCAACGCCGCGUGCGGGAUGACGGCCUUCGGGUUGUAAACCGCUUUCGCCUGUGACGAAGCGUGAGUGACGGUAAUGGGUAAAGAAGCACCGGCUAACUACGUG